CCUGAACGCUGGCGGCGUGGCUAAGACAUGCAAGUCGCACGGGUGUAGCAAUACACAGUGGCGAACGGGUGAGUAAUGAAUCGCUAAUGUGCCCCGGACUCUGGGAUAGCCAGCCGAAACGGCUGGGGUAAUACCAGAUGAGGACCACGAACAGGCAUCUGUUUGUGCUCAAAGGUCCGCCGGUCUGGGAGCAGGCGAUUUCGUAUCAGCUAGUUGGNGAGGUAACGGCUCACCAAGGCGACGACGCGUAGCCGGACUGAGAGGUUGGCCGGCCACAUUGGGACUGAGACACCGGCCCAGACUCCUACGGGGGGCU
rnacentral:rRNA from 1 species